AGAUUCAUGUCAAUCUGGUCUC
rnacentral:miRNA from 1 species